rnacentral:rRNA from 1 species
GAUGAACGCUGGCGGCGUGCUUAACACAUGCAAGUCGAACGGUGAAGCAGGAGCUUGCUCUUGUGGAUCAGUGGCGAACGGGUGAGUAACACGUGAGCAACCUGCCCCUGACUCUGGGAUAAGCGCUGGAAACGGCGUCUAAUACUGGAUAUGUGAUGUGACCGCAUGGUCUGCAUCUGGAAAGAAUUUCGGUUGGGGAUGGGAUCGCGGCCUAUCAGCUUGUUGGUGAGGUAAUGGCUCACGAAGGCGUCGACGGGUAGCCGGCCUGAGAGGGUGACCGGCCACACUGGGACUGAGACACGGCCCAGACUCCUGCGGGAGGCAGCAGUGGGGAAUAUUGCACAAUGGGCGGAAGCCUGAUGCAGCAACGCCGCGUGAGGGAUGACGGCCUUCGGGUUGUAAACCUCUUUUAGCAGGGAAGAAGCGAAAGUGACGGUACCUGCAGAAAAAGCACCGGCUAACUACGUGCCAGCCGCCGCGGUAA